rnacentral:lncRNA from 1 species
GAUGGGUUUGAUACUUGGGAGUAGCAUAUCUUUCAUAUUUUUAUGCUUGCUAUUUCGUCUAAAUUUUUUUAUCACUUUUUCUAUUUAUUUUACUUUUAAUAUUUUAUGGGAUUAAUUUAAUUUAAUUGUUAAUUGGUUGUUUGAUUUUAAAUGUUUAGUUUUUUUUAGAUUUUCUUAAUUAUUGAUUUUUUUUUGAUAUGGGAUUUGGUACGGUUAAUUGAUUUCCAUGUGUUA